rnacentral:tRNA from 1 species
GUUGAGAUGGCCUAGUUGGUUUAAGACAAUAGAGUAAGGUUUUGGUUCAAAAAGGGUGUGGGUUCAAAUCCUACUCUCAACA